rnacentral:misc_RNA from 1 species
GAAAUGCGAUACGUAGUGUGAAUUGCAGAAUUCAGUGAACCAUCGAAUCUUUGAACGCACCUUGCAGCCGCCGGUAAUCCGGCGGCUAUGCCCGUCCGAGCGUCGUUUCGACCCUCGGGACCCCUCCUGUUGGGGGGGGCCCCGGCGUUGGGCCAGCGCGCCGCCAGCACGCCCUCUGUCAGGAGGGCGCGCAGGCCGCGCGGCCUGUAGAACAGCGGCGGCAGCGCCUGCGACGUCCCCUGCGUAGUAGCCCUACUCGCAUCGGGCUCCUCGCGCCGCCCGCCUGCCCGGUGCCGCCAGCGGCCUGGGAGCAGCCCACCUAUAUAACGUCGACCUCGGAUCGGGUAGGGAUACCCGCUAAACUUAA